AGAGUUUGAUCCUGGCUCAGAAUGAACGUUGGCGGCGUGGAUUAGGCAUGCAAGUCGAACGAGUCUCUGGGGGGUAACUCCUAGAGGAAAAUGGCGAAAGGGGCAGUAAUAUAUGGGUAACCUACCUUGAGGUCUGGGAUAGCCAUUCUAACGGAUGGGUAAUACUGGACGGCCUGAGUUGUCGGCAUCGAUGAUUUAGUAAAGGUUACGCCUCGAGAGGGGCCCAUAUGAUAUUAGCUAGUUGGUGAGGUAAUGGCUCACCAAGGCAAAGAUGUCUAGCGGGUGUGAGAGCACGACCCGCGUCACUGGCACUGAGACACUGGCCAGACUCCUACGGGAGGCUGCAGUCGAGGAUCUUCGGCAAUGGACGAAAGUCUGACCGAGCAACGCCGCGUGUGCGAUGAAGGCCUUCGGGUUGUAAAGCACUGUCGAGGGGAAACAAGCCGUAAGGUUGAGUGACCCCUGGAGGAAGCACGGGCUAAGUUCGUGCCAGCAGCCGCGGCAAGACGAACCGUGCAAACGUUAUUCGGAAUCACUGGGCUUAAAGGGCGCGUAGGCGGGUAAUCAAGUCAAUGGUGAAAUCCUCCAGCUUAACUGGAGAAGUGCCUUUGAUACUGGUUGUCUAGAGGGAGGUAGGGGCAUGUGGAACUUCAGGUGGAGCGGUGAAAUGCGUAGAUAUCUGAAGGAACGCCAGUGGCGAAAGCGAUGUGCUGGACCUCUUCUGACGCUGAGGCGCGAAAGCUAGGGGAUCAAACGGGAUUAGAUACCCUGGUAGUCC
rnacentral:rRNA from 1 species